GGCCUCGCAGCUCAGUUGACUAGAGCGUUGGCUGUAUUAAAACCUUCCCCUUGCUGGCGUGGGUUCGAAUCCCACCGAGGCCG
rfam:Schistocephalus solidus strain NST_G2 genome assembly, scaffold: SSLN_scaffold0002072